rnacentral:rRNA from 1 species
AUGCGGCACUUCUCCUCCCUCCCGCGAGUGCUCCGCCGGAGCGCCGCCCCAAAACCCAACCGGCGGAGCCCCGCCCCGAAACCUCACCCUCCCUCGCCGUCCCCCGGUCCGGUUCCCGAUGCUCAGGCGCCCGUCGCCCCUGCGCCGAUGCCGACGAGGCCAUGGGAGGAGGCCCUGGACGCAGCACAGCGCGCGUUCUGCCUGCCCCUCGCCGGCCGCGUCCUCGCCGCCGCCGGAACUGGAAACGCCGCCGUCUCCCCUGUUGGAGUCCACGCCGCGCUCUCCCUCGCGUCCUCCGGCGCGCGUGGUGCGACGCGGAGGCAGUUGCUCGGUACGCUGGGCUGCGGUGGCGGCGGCAAGGGCGCGGCGGCUGACGCGGCCAACGUGGCGUCACGUGUGGUCAAGCGCGUGCUCAAGGACCGGGCGAAGUCUGGUGGACCACAGCUCGCGUUCGCCUCUGGCGUGUGGGCCGACGCAUCGACGACGCUCUCGCCGGAGUUCGUCGAGACCGCUGGUGGCCUGUACUGCUCAGCGGCCAAGACGGUCGAUUUCAAGAGCACGCCAGAAGAUGCUGCUGAGCAAAUUAACUCAUGGGUCAACAAGUCCACGAGACAAACCAUUACCUCACUCCUUCCAGAUGGAUUAGUUGACCAGAAUACAGGGCUUGUACUUGGCAGCGCACUGUAUUUUAAAGGCAGAUGGCUGGAUAAGACUGAUAUAGGGAAGACUGCUGAACAAAAAUUCUACUGUCUGGAUGGAACACAUGUCCUAGUUCCUUUUGUGGAGUAUGACAGAACUCGUCUUUUUGCUGCGCACGACGGAUUCAAAGUUAUUAAGCUUCCUUACAAGCAAGGGAAUAAUGAACGGAAGUUUUCCAUGUACAUUUUCCUCCCAGAUGCUCAUGAUGGCCUGUUUGAAUUAACCAAGAAGAUUUUCUCUGAACCGGCAUUCUUAGAACAACAUUUACCAACAGAGAAGCGCCAUGUGGGUAUUGGGGUGCCCAAAUUCACGAUAUCUUUUCAGAUCGACAUGAAGGAUUUUCUGAAAGAUAUGACACUUGAAUUGCCAUUCCGACGAGAUGCGGAUUUCAAAGAUAUGGUAAAGGAAGGUGACUCGAAGGAGCCUUUGUUUCUAUCUGAUGUACUUCAUAAAGUGAUUUUGGAAGUGAACGAUGAUGAAAUUGAAGAAACUUCUGUGGAGAAAAGCAUAGGCAAGCCUUUACCCACAGAGCACUUCGCAGCCGACCACCCUUUCUUCUUUCUCAUUCGGGAGGAAGUGUCUGCUACGGUUAUCUUCAUGGGGCAUGUGCUUGAUCCUUCAUCACAGUACUAA